ensembl:misc_RNA Metazoa_SRP Metazoan signal recognition particle RNA
GCCAGGUGUGGUGGUGCACACCUGUAAUGCCAGCUACUCAGGAGGCUGAGGCAGGAGAAUCGCUUGAACCCAGGAGGUGGAGGUUGCAGUGAGCCAAGAUCGUGCCACUGCACUCCAGCCUGGGUGACAGAGUGAGAUUCUGUCUCCA